AACGAACGCUGGCGGCAGGCCUAACACAUGCAAGUCGAGCGAGGACUUCGGUUCUAGCGGCGGACGGGUGAGUAACGCGUGGGAAUGUGCCCUUCUCUACGGAAUAGCCCUGGGAAACUGGGAUUAAUACCGUAUACGCCCUAUUGGGGAAAGAUUUAUCGGAGAAGGAUCAGCCCGCGUUGGAUUAGGUAGUUGGUGGGGUAAUGGCCUACCAAGCCGACGAUCCAUAGCUGGUUUGAGAGGAUGAUCAGCCACACUGGGACUGAGACACGGCCCAGACUCCUACGGGAGGCAGCAGUGGGGAAUCUUAGACAAUGGGGGCAACCCUGAUCUAGCCAUGCCGCGUGAGUGAUGAAGGCCUUAGGGUUGUAAAGCUCUUUCAGCUGGGAAGAUAAUGACGGUACCAGCAGAAGAAGCCCCGGCUAACUCCGUG
rnacentral:rRNA from 1 species